GACGAACGCUGGCGGCGUGCUUAACACAUGCAAGUCGAACGGAAAGGCCCUGCUUUUGUGGGGUGCUCGAGUGGCGAACGGGUGAGUAACACGUGAGUAACCUGCCCUUGACUUUGGGAUAACUUCAGGAAACUGGGGCUAAUACCGGAUAGGAGCUCCUGCUGCAUGGUGGGGGUUGGAAAGUUUCGGCGGUUGGGGAUGGACUCGCGGCUUAUCAGCUUGUUGGUGGGGUAGUGACUUACCAAGCCUUCGAAGGGUAGCCGGCCUGGGAGGGUGACCGGCCACAUUGGGACUGAGAUACGGCGCAGACUCCUACGGGACGCAACAGUGGGGAAUAUUACACAAUGGGCGGAAGCCUGAUGCAGCAACGCCGCGUGCGGGAUGACGGCCUUCGGGUUGUAAACCGAUUUCGCCUGUGACGAAGCGAGAGUGACGGUAAUGGGUAAAGAAGCACCGGCUAACUACGUG
rnacentral:rRNA from 1 species